rnacentral:lncRNA from 1 species
GCAACUACUGUUCAAUCGUCUCUCUCGCCCAAACCAAGCCCCAAUUCAGUCCAGUUUCAGGCGACCAUGCGUCUCCCCCUUCUCUCCUCCUGCCAUUUUGUAAUGGUUUCUGACACCAAAGAUCCCCCCUCCCCUCACUCACCCGAUUUUGAACCAUAUCACGCAAUUGGAAGGUUCUGGAGGACGAUCGUUGGAUGAGUAUGAGGAGUUGGAUUGAUUUCAUUCAAUCCGAGCCCAACAUUCAUCAGGUGCUCAUUUUCAAAAAGGACCAAAUUCGAUUUUGUAAAGGGGGAUGAUUCAGAGGGAAUUUUUGGAGAGAAGAGAGGUCACUUGGAAAUUAGGAUUCUAAUUAAGCUUCUUUUCUCUUUUAUUCAUCUGAAACUAUCUUGGUUUAAUUCCAUUUACAAUAGAAAAAAACAUUUCAUUUUCGUUUUUAAUCUUAGCCCCUUUUGUUCUUUUCAUCUUCAAGUUCAGAAAUUUUCACUUUCAUGAUGAGUUUGGAUUGAACUCGAAGGUUGAGUUUGUUUUCUGGAUUUCAUUUUGAGUUAAUGGAAGUCGACUGAGUGCUGUUUGUUUCGAGCUGCUCCAACGUUGUUCGUUUAGCUGCUGGUUCGUGAGUUCAUUGCAAUCUUUGUUUGGACUCGCUUCCUCUGAGAAUCGUUGUAAUCAUUAAAUAGCAUUAAUCGAAAGUUCAUUUUCAGGUUCAUUUCUAGACUCUCCUAUUUUUUUUUCUAUUUUGUGUGAUCUGAAAUGUCUUGUUUGUUUUAAUAGAUUCCUGGAUACCUAAGAAGUAAAUUAACAUAAAUGAACAAUUUUAGGAUGCUUGGUUAAGCUUUGAGUUGGUUUUCUGAAUUUGAACAUGGUUGUUUGAGUGGUUCUGUUGUUUUUAUGGAAAUGUGAAUACAAAUGGAGACUGACUUGGAGUGUUGUUGACUGAGAAUCGUAUGAAGUUGAUUCAUGGGCUGUGACCUGAAGUUGUAUUAAGAAAUCUUGCAAGUUCAGUUCCUGUAACAUGUUUCUGUCCAGUUUGCUGCACUGCUGAGUAGCUUCAGCUACAAUUUCUGCUAGUUUGAGUUAUAGUUUUGUUGUAUCCAGUUAAUGUUGGAUUUGCUGUUUAUCUUUUGCUUCAAUGAAAGUUUAUGAAAAUAGCAACCAUUAGUUUCUUUGUUGUUGAUUAGCUGUGUUUGAGCUCUAGCUUUAAAGCCAGGAUCAUUGCUUGGUUUUCUUUGCCGCUGCCUCUCCUGCAGUAGUUGAGCUUGCUUUCUUUGGGUUCUGGCCCUUAUUUGAUUUUUUUAGAGUGCUGGUUUUUUGCGUCUGGGUAUAUUUUAAGACCUCAAGUGUUGAAUAUGAUGUAUUUAAUGAAAAACAGGAAUUAUAUCUUCUCCAAUUUCAAAUGUUAAGAGUUCACCUUGAAAUUAUCUUUUCAGAUUUCUUGUUAGUUGAGUAAGUUGAUAGUUUCUAUUUGAGAGAUUUACUGUGAAAAAUAUUCAGUUUUUGUAGCAUUUCCUUGAUUCUUCUUGUCUUGCAUCAGUAGGAUUAAUAAUUUGUGAACUUUAAAAUAUUUUCCUCUUUCCCCCCAGUUUUUGUAUACUUUUGAACCAUAUUUGCAUUAUUUGAGUCAAUUCCUUAGACCUAUUGAGAUAACCUAUGCAUCAAUUGUUGAUCUGAGUUUUCUGCGACGUCAAAGUGAGCAUGUUUAGCAUUUGUGGUUGCGAGGUUUUUGAGAAUUUGGUUAGUUCAAAUAAUGGGAAUCAAAGGCAGCACUGAUGUUGUAAAGGGUUAGUUCUGAUGUGCCUGAUUUGAAUUCAUCUGUAUGUAUGUUUUCGUGAGAUUAACGAGAGGCUACAUGGUGCUAAUUGGGUUUGCAAAUGAAUUUGAGAAGCUAACAGUUAUGAAGAUAGAGGGAAUAAAAUAAAAGAGAUGUUAUAUAGCAUGAUAGCUCAAGGGAAGAGAGAUCAGUCGGGUUUUAAGCUUUCAUCAUGCUUUGAUCCACUACUUUUCAUCUUUAUUUUAUUUUCGUGUUUGUUCUGUUGAAUCGUUAUUCGAUCUCCUUUAUUUUAUGUGAUUGACCGUUAACUUCUUGGGCAAUAAUUUACAUGAGUUAAUUUUGAGUGUUUGUCAGGGAAUGGAAAAGGUCGAGGUCCAUUAGCGACUAUUUUGUUUCAUGCUUUAGGAGUAAGCUCAGUCUAAAUACGUGAAACGAGAGAUUUAAAAAUGGAGCAUGAAAUGAGAUCUUAUUUAUUUAGUUAUUUUAAUUUUGUUUACUACUCAUGAACUUCAUAGUUUGCUUUGGGCCCGUAAUUAAAAUAUCACGACUACGGGUACGGUUCCCGUGAUAUAGUUGUGAUGAUUAAUUUCAAAUUAGCUCUAAAUAUGAAUAUCCUAGUGCAUUUAGUUGAAUAGCUUUCAGGCGUGCCAUUCCUACAUUUGAAUCAUAUAAUCUAUGGCCCUCAUAUUUUAUAACUUAGUUACUAAAAAUGAAACUUGUAGUUUGCUUUAGGCGCGCAAAUGAAUUAUUACAAUUACGGGUACGGUUCCCAUAACGUGAUUGUGAUAAUCCUUUCUUUUAAAAUAAUUUGAGGUACGUCAUACACAAAUAAAAUCCAUAACGUAUGACCCUCACAUAAAUACAAAAUUAGUAUAGAAAUGCCAUGAACUUUCGUUGUUUGCUUUAGGCACAAUAAUUAAAUAAUUGUCAUAGCUACGGAUACGGUUCCCGUGACGUGGUCGUGUCACUUAAUUUCUAAAAAACCGGGGGUACAUUUAUGUUACCCAGCCACAAUUUAAUCAUGUUAUUAAAAUAAAUAUGUUGUAGAUCGUGAGUAUGGUUUCCAUGACAUGAUUCGCAAUGUGUAGUCAAGGUAAUUAGUUGUAUGAUAAUUAGAUUAUUAAAAGCGGUUUUUAAAGGGAUAAAAUGCACAUAGAUUUUAAAGAUGUUUUAAAAUCAAAUAAAUAGACCAAUAAUAACUGUUUAGCGACCGUGAUAAAACCACGAAACCCGGGAAUGCCUAACACCUUAUCCCGGGUUAACAGAAUUCCUUACCCAAAUUUUUGUGUUCGCGGACUGUAAAACAGAGUCAAUUUUUCCUUGAUUCGGGAUUGAAACCGGUGACUUGGGACACCAUAAAUUAUCCCAAGUGGAGACUUUGAAUUUUAAAUAAAUAAUUCUGUUUCGAUUGUCAGUUAAAUUGGAAAAAACUCCCUUAAUACUCAUUUCCGGGGGUAGUAAAAAGGAGGUAUGACAGCUCUGGCGACUCCGCUAGGGAUCGAACCCAUAAUCUCUGGUUUAGGGUUCAAGAAUUCGAGCUUGGAAUAAUUGUUAUAUUUUGCUUUAUUUAUUGUCUGAUUUUAUCUACAUGUUUGGGCCUAACAUGCUAAAUGUUGCUCUUUACCGCUUUGAUAGUAUCUGAACUGUAUAUAAACUGCUAGGAAACCCCUCUCUUCUAGUGCCCGCUGGCGUGGCUUCUUUCCGUUAGUGUCAUAUCCCAAAUUAGAACGAGGUUCGAACAAGUAGCAAAGCCGGAUGAUCUUUUGGUUAUCGGUAUGCUGCCCCCCCCUCUGGCUCGCGUUGUCCACUCGAGUAAGCCAGGUCUAGAAUAAUACACCCAGGUUUAAACCUAGAAAAAUUUAGCCUCAUGCCGGAUCCCUAGUAGGAACUCUUGUUUGCAUCAUGUGCAUUUAACUUUGGGGACUCAACACAGGAGUUGGGUCUGUCUAGGACAGCAUACUCGGAAAUAAAAGACCGACCUGAUGCAUUUUAUGUGCUACCUGUGCAUUUAAUUUGUUUCGGGUUGCAUGUUGACUGACUUCUAGAUUGAGUGAGGAAAAUGAAAAGAAAAACUCAGUUGAGGUAUGAGAGAGGAUUUCACCCGUUUCCCAAAAAAUGGUGCCUAAAAUGUCCCAAAACGCUGCCGAAUUUUUGAAAAAAGAAAAGAAAAAAAGAUUCCUUGAAAAAAAAUAAAGAAAAAAAAGUUUCUUGAAAAGAGAAGAGUUAGUCCAAAAUGGUUUUUGUUUUUUUUCCUUUCACGUCAAAACUGAGCGAACUACGCGGGUUUGAUUCUUACCAGACGUGAGAUACGUAGGCAACCCUCAUCGGGUCCAGCCCCUCUUUUGAAAAUUUUGAAAAUAAAUAUAUGAAGUGUCGUCAUUUUGUCAUAAAUACAGUAGGUGAUGCCAUUUUAUCUAAAUAGCCGAAUGUCCCAGCAGGACGCUGGAAGGCUACUUUGCAAAAAUAGCCACCGAUGGUUUAUUUGUUAAUUUUGGCCAUUAGCGAACGCAACCUUAAGAACUUCCAUUCCGAAGUAAUGAAAGGCCGUAUUCACAAAAGCAGCCCUGAUUUAUUUUUGCAAAACUAAGCCUUUUGUCAGUUUUCAAAUAAGAUUCACUUUGUCUUUAAAUCAACCACCUUAAUCUAAAUGUGCAGAAUGAGCACGAGUCAAAAUUUACCAAUGAAGGUCAUGUCCAAGAUUCUGUUGGAUCUACUCAUGUGGUGGGAAGAUUUGGGUAAAGAAGGACACGAUGUGGUUAACCUUUAUUUGGGAGGGCUCACCGGAUUGAUGAAGAUCUAGCCUAGAGGAGACAUAAUAAGGGCACUUGUAACAUUUUGGGACCCGACUCACAACGUCCUACAUUUAUCAGAUUUUGAACUCACGCCCACUUUGGAAGAAAUAGCGGGUUAUAUGGGAAGUACUGAAGGUCUAAGGCAUAAGUACCUGGUCGCUCUGAGAACCAUUACCCCUCACAAGUUCCUGGAUUUGCUAAAAAUAAGUAGGGGGUCCAGUACGCAGAUUUGGCGGUCGGUUUUUCCACUCUGCGCUUCAUAUACCAGAGGUACGGGCAUGUAGAAGGAUUUGACAACACGGAAAGUGGAGUUUGUAGCAAAGGGAACAGAGCAAAAUGGUAUGAGCAUAGGCGUUUCGCUUUCAUGGUAGCUUUCUUAGGACUCAUGGUGUUUCCCCGGAAGGAUGGGAAUAUCGAUCUACGGGUAGCUGGAGUCGUCAAUGUCUUGAUUACCAAUGCCAAGAGAACCCUCGCCCCUAUGAUAGUGUCUGAGAUAUACCGAGCUCUCACAACUUGUAAAGCUGGGGCAGACUUUUUUGAGGGAUGCAAUUUGCAAUUACAAAUGUGGAUGAUCGAGCAUCUGCAUCACCUCCCUCAGUAUAUGAGUUAUGGAUCCACAGAAAAAAAACUGCAUUGAGUUCGACGCAAGGAUCUCAGGGUUCAAGUUGCUAGAAGGGUUUGGAGAUUGGGUAUCCCGCCUUCGCUCCAUCACUGCGGGGCAAAUCGAGUGGACACUGGGUUGGCUUCCAGUUGAAGAGAUUGUGUAUAUGUCUGCCAUCGGUCCUUACCUCCUUCUAAUGGGUCUUCGAGGCAUUCAGCCUUACGUUCCAUACUGGGUGAUGAGAUAGUUGGAAAGAUGCCAGGUGACGCACCCAGAUGAAGAUCUUAGUAUUUAUGAGGUCGAAGUCAGCUUCAACGGCCAAUUUCAAGAAGAAACAGUUCGUCAUAUUUGGAACAAGUGCCAGUAUUUGACAACAAACACUCGAGUGUGUGACCUAUCUAGAGGCGAGGUCUCACCCGCCUAUGUUGCCUGGUAUAGAAAGAAGAACAACGCAAGUGCCGAACCUGAAAAACCAACCAAAAAGCCUCACAUUCAGGAAUUUGUUGAAGCGUCGCAAGAACAGUGGGCUUGGUUGGCCAAGGAGAAUGAUUACACGGCCCCAAUAGGCAAACUGGAAAAACAAGUUAGAGAUCUUCAAUUUGAGAAUGGUUUGCAAGUUGAUGCAGAUGAGGGUGAAAAGAAAAAGCUAGCCAAAGAAAAUGACGCCCUCGGAGCCCAAAUUCAAGAAAUGAAAAUAGCAGCCGAAAACUCUGCUAGAAGUGUAAAAGAUGAAAAGCUUAUAGGUAACCUUAGGCAGAAAGUGGGUAAAUAUGGUUUUGAUCUGAACAAGGCCAAAGGCGAAUAGGCAAGAGCUCGAACAAAAUUGGUUAAAAAUGCGGAGGAACGAGCACGUUUUGUCAAACAGUUAAAAGAGAAAUAUGAAAAUGGAGUUGUGGGGUUGAAGAAAAAGAUCACCGUCCUUGAGAACGAAAUGACUAAGCAGGCAAGGGAUUUCGAAGCAGAAAGAGAACACUGGUAUGCACUGAUGUCACAGUUAGAAAAAGACCUGCAGAAGCUUCAAGAGCAAAAUCAUACAGCUGAACAAGUUUUGGGGGCCAGGUCUCAGCAGAUUGGACGGUUGCUACAAGAAAAAGGUAUCAUCAGGGAGAGGGUUAGAGCAAUUGUUGACUACAUCGUCAUGAAGUGCCAUGAAUGUGAAUACAUGACUAGAACCACCUUAUUUGCUGCGGUAAUGACCUUUGUUCGCCAAAUAAUGAGUGACCUGGAGCGUCUUCAAGGGGAUCUUGUGCAUAGGCAUGUGGCAAGACCGACUGACGUCCCACGAGCCCCUGGAGCAAUUGAGGCACUUAUGUAUUCAUGAUUUUCAUUCGAGUCUAUAUUUUCACCUUUCUUCCAGAGUCUGUUAGUCUUUAUCGAGUCUGUAUUUUCAUUUUUCUUUGGAGUCUAUUAGUUCCCUUUUUCGAGUCUGUUAGUCUUUAUGUUUAAAUCUGUAGAAGAAGUUGUUAUAAUCGAGAUAUUUUGUUUUUUUUUUAUUUUAUGAAAAUUUGAAAACCACAAAAAAUGUUUUAUUUAUUUAUUUUUAUCUUAUACUUAUUCUUAGAACUAUGCUUGGUCUGAUUCAUGCGGCAUCAUGAUACGUAGGCAAUCCCUAUAGGAUUCGAUCAUAACCGUGAGAUGAAAAAGAAAAAGAAAAAAAGAGAGAGGAAAACAAGAAAGGCUGUGGGAAAGAAAUAAUGGUAAAACAAGAGAGGAGAAUAAGAGAAUAAAAGCGAGAAUCAAGCAAAGGAAAGCAUGAAUGAAAAAAGGAGAGAAAAAAUUUUGGAAAUUAGUAAAAGCCAGGAUGACGCAAGUGGCCGUUCAAAUGCAUGCUAGAAAUGGUUAAUUGUUUAGGUGCAUUACAUCCCCAAUGUGCGGUUACCUAUCCGUUAAAAUCUAAUCGCUAACGAGUUUGUUGUUGUCAUCAAGUCCAGGCAGGUGGUUAGUUUGUUUGACAUUCUGGCAACCCACCCGUACAACACCAGGUCCAAAGACAAGUUGACCAUGGCUAACCAAGAACUGGAUGCAAGUGUUAUUGAUCCGUCAAGAGAGGGGGAAGACUCUGAUGUUAAUCUGAAAGAGGAGUUGUAUAAGCUGAAACACCGGAUGGCAGAGAUGUACCAGGCAUGGGUAAAAGGGCAUCCACCACCAUCCUACCCCGCCAACCCUGCUUUUGUCCCGCAGCUGGCUCAAUCCCAAGAACCUCCCACUGUUGAUUCAUCUCCAGGCUUUCCCAUUUACCACCACUGCCAAGGUACCACUUCUCAAACCCCACAAGCACCACCACCCAAACCAGUCCCAUACCCUCCUCCUCCAACCACCCCUAUUUUCGUGGCACCCCGACCCCCUACACUCCACUGAUCCUCCAGUGAGCCCUUAUUCCAGACCCAAGAUAACCAAUACUAUCCCUCGAAGCCUACUUUCAAGGCCCCAAAGCAUUACUCUUACACUUCUCGUUUCGACCUCCCAGUUGAGACUGAGAAACCACCUAAAACCUCAGAGCAGGAGGAGAUGUUCAGGAAGGUUAGAAGCCUAGAACAGUCAUUCAGAAACAUGCAGGGAUUGGGAGGCCAGGUGAGCAUAGCCUACAAAGAUUUGAUCUAUUUCUCGAUGUUCAGUUGCCGGUAGUAUUUAAGAUGCCGAAGUUUGAUUUGUAUGAUGGGUACGGAGACCCAGUGGCCCACUUAAGGGGAUUCUGCAGUAAAAUGAGAGGAACCGAUGGGAAAGAUGAGCUAUUGAUGGCAUACUUUAGCCAAUAUUUGAGUGGUUCGGCAUUAGAGUGGUACACUCAUCAGGACCACAACAGAUAGUAUACCUGGGAUGAUUUGGCCCAAGCAUUCUCUCGUCAUUUCUAGUACAACAUCGAGAUUGUUCCAGAUCAUUUGUCUUUGACUAAAUUGAGAAGAAGCCUAAUGAAAGUUUCAGAGAAUAUGGUUUUCGCUGGAGAGAACAAGCGGCAAAAGUUAACCCCCCGAUGGAGGAGAGCGAAAUGGUGGAGUACUUUCUGUAAGCUAUAGAGCCCACUUACUUUGGCCAUCUGAUAUCGGCCAUAGGAAAAUCAUUCAACGAGGUAGUGAAGAUGGGUGGCAUAGUGAAAGAAGGGCUUUAAUCAAGAAAAAUCAUGAGUUACUCGGCUAUCAAGGCAACUACCCAAGCCAUUCAAAACGGUAUUGGGGGAGUGAUUGGAAAGAAGAAGAAAGAAGAUAUGGCAACAAUUGAUUCAGGAUCAUGGUUUGGACCCAGGGGCCCGUCACACCAAUAUACCCAGCCUCGACCCCAUCACUGUACCUACACUCAAACCUCAUAUAAUCCACCGCAACACUACUUCCCAUCACCAGACCCUUAUAUUUCUAUCCACCACACCCAAACAUAUACUUAACCUCUUGCCUACGCACAAUGGCGUGCCCCAGCCCCACAAAACACCUACCCAGAUCCACAAAAUGCUUACACACCCCCACGAGCCUACCGAAACCCUGCCGGUCCAAGUUUCCGACCCAAUCCAGCAUUCAAAAAUGAGAGGUUGCAGCGAAAGAAAACCUUUAUCCCAUUGGGGAGUCUUAUACUAGUUUGUUCCAUGGAUUGAGGCAGUUGGAUAUGCUCAGGCCAAUUGAGUCGAUAUUGUCAAACCCUCCUCCAAAAAAUCUUGAUUACUCUGUGAGCUGUGAAUAUUGUUCUGGUAAUCCGGGACAUGAUAUGGAAAAGUGUUGGCACUUGAAAAAUUCCAUCCAGGAGCUCAUUGACACAAACCGGAUUGAAGUGCAAACUCCAGAGGCCCCCAACAUCAACCGGAACCUAUUACAAACCCAUCAGGAAACAAACAUGAUUGAGAUAGUACAUAAGGGAGGGGAACCUAAGAAGCUUCACAAGUUGAGGUCAAGCCAGUUAAAAAACCAACAGUUGAAAGAUCAGUGAACAAGUUGAGCAGGACAAACGGUGAACCAUCUGUGGUAGUAAAUAAAGGUUCCCCAAGUGAUGUUGCGGCAAAAUAGGAAAAGUCAAAAGUGGUUGUGCCAGGAGUGGAAAAUAAGCCUAUCAUAAUUGUAGAGGGUGACCAUACGGAUCCUGUUAUUACUAAGCUUGUAACCCAGUUGUUGGUAAUCAACAGCAAGGCUAUCCCAUGGAACUAUAUGACCUAUAAGGCAAAGAAAGUGAAAGAAGAAGUCAAUGAGGCCCAGGGAUUAACUCGUUUAGGGAGAUACUUUGCCCAGGAAGAGUUAAGGAAAGCUAAAACAUCCAGAGAUAAUCUAGUCCUAGUAAAGAAGGUAGUGACUGAAGAAGAGGCGGAGGAGUUUCUGAGAAAGAUGAAGGUACAAGAUUAUUCCAUCGUGGAGCAGUUGAGAAAGAUGUCUGCUCAGAUAUUUUUACUGUCAUUGUUGAUCCACUCAGACGAGCAUCGUCGGGCCCUGAUGAAAAUUCUGAACGAAGCUCAUGUCCCCGACAAAAUUUCAGUGGACCAUCUGGAAAAUAUCGCCAACAAAAUAUUCGAGGUGAACAGGGUCACCUUCUCUGAUGAUGAGUUACCGGUGGAAGGUACUGAACACAACAAAGUUCUAUACCUUACGGUAAAAUGUGAGGAUUCUGUGGUCACAGGGUGUUAGUUGACAAUGGUUCCAAUGCAAACAUUUGUCCUCUCUCUACUCUGAACAAGUUGAAAUUUGAUGAUGAGAGGAUUCACAAAAACAACAUCUACGUUUGAGGUUUUAAUGGUGGAGGGAAAGAUUAGUUGGUGAUAUAGUGCUUGAUUUGACAAUAGGAUCGGUGGAAUUCACCAUGAAGUUCCAGGUACUGGACAUGGCUGUCUCCUACAAUUUAUGUUAGGUCGACCUUGGAUUCAUGCCACCAAAACAGUCCCAUCCACUCUGCAUCAGAUGGUCAAGUUCGAAUGGGAUAGACAGGAGAUCAUCGUGCAUGGAAAGGAUAAUUUGUGUGCUCAGAGUGAUGCCUCUGUCCCGUUCAUUGAGGCUGAAGAUGACAAAGGGCCUUGGGUCUAUCAAGUUUUUGAAACAGUGCUGGUUGAGAAGGUUCCAGAGGGGAAAUGUGUUCUAACUCCAAAGAUAACCUCCGCAUCAGUCAUGGUGGCCUUUGAAAUGCUGAAAAAUAGAUUUGUGCUCGGUAAAGGUUUGGGUGCAUCUCUGCAGGGUAUCAUACAGCCAGUAUCGCUCCCUGAAAAUUUGGGUACGUUCGGUCUUGGAUUCAAACCUACAGCAGCAGAUGUGAAAAGGGCUAAAAGAUUGAAACAGAAGGCGUGGGCACUUCCAAAGCCCGUUCCGCGUCUUUUCAGGUCUUUUGUCAAGCCGGGUGCUAGGUAACGCCCAGUAACAACAGUCCCAAGUUUUGUGGUUGACAUUGAUGAGGAGUUAAUUGAAAGGUUCAAGAGGUUGUUUGAUGAUGUGAACAUGGUAGAAGGUGGAGAAGGUUCUAGCAAAGCGUACGUGCAGUUCGUCGGGCCGAAUGUAAAGCUUAACAAUUGGAAGGCUACUCAUCUCCCUACCCGGAUAGAGUCUUGGUAGUUUAUUUCUUUUUCUUUCUAUCUGGGUCAUUUCAGGGUUGUGACCUAGACUUUUAUUUUCUUCUUGUUGAUGUACAAACCUUAUUAUCCUUUAUUUUUAAUGAAAUGCAAUUUCCCUUUUCCGUCAUUCCUGAUAGUUCUUAUUUCUGUUUUCUUUUCUUAUUUGUACAGUUCUUUUUAUGCUGGUUUCAAUGACAUGACAUACAUGAGGAAUCUUUGGCCAAGUCUUAAAAGUCAGUNNNNNNNNNNNNNNNNNNNNNNNNNNNNNNNNNNNNNNNNNNNNNNNNNNNNNNNNNNNNNNNNNNNNNNNNNNNNNNNNNNNNNNNNNNNNNNNNNNNNNNNNNNNNNNNNNNNNNNNNNNNNNNNNNNNNNNNNNNNNNNNNNNNNNNNNNNNNNNNNNNNNNNNNNNNNNNNNNNNNNNNNNNNNNNNNNNNNNNNNNNNNNNNNNNNNNNNNNNNNNNNNNNNNNNNNNNNNNNNNNNNNNNGAAACAGAAGUAAUCAAUCUAAGGGAUCUAGAUAAUGUCAUAAAAACUAAGAUAAGUGUCCAUCUUGAACCGCAAAUCAGGGAAGAAAUAAUUAAAGCAUUGUUUGAGUAUAAGGAUAUAUUUGCAUGGUCAUAUAAUGACAUGUAUGGCUUGAGUACCGGUUUGGUGGUCCAUAAAUUGCCAAUUGAUCCAGCAUUCCCUCCCAUUAAGCAAAAGUUGAGAAAGUUCAAAACUGACAUGAGUGUGUAGAUUAAAGAAGAAGUCACAAAGCAGCUUGAUGCAAAGGUCAUUCGAGUCACGUGAUAUCCCACGUGGUUAGCCAAUGUUGUGCCUGUGCCAAAGAAAGAUGGUAAGACCAGAGUGUGUGUUAUUACCAUGACCUCAAUAAAGCACGUCCAAAGGACAAUUUCCCAUUGCCAAACAUCCACAUUUUGAUCGAUAACUGUGCCAAGCAUGAGAUUGGUUCUUUCAUGGAUUGUUAUGUGAGGUAUCAUCAGAUUUUAAUGGAUGAGGAGGAUGUACAAAAGAAGGCCUUCAUCACACCGUAGGGAACAUACUGUUACCGGGUCAUGCCUUUUGGUUUGAAAAAUGCUGGGGAAACUUACACGAGGGCAAUGACAACCAUAUUUCAUGACAUGAUACACAAGGAGAUUGAGGUUUACGUUGACGAUGUGAUCAUAAAGUCCAGGAUGCAGUCUAACCAUGUAAAAGAUUUGAGAAAGUUUUUCCAAAGGCUCCGUAGGUACAAUCUUAAGCUCAAUCCUGCAAAGUGUGCAUUUGGUGUUCCAUCGGGGAAGCUGUUAGUCAGUCAGCGGGGUAUUGAGUUGGAUCCGUCAAAUAUCAAGGCUAUCCAGGAAUUGCCAUCGCCAAAGAACAAGACCGAGGUGAUGAGUUUGCUAUGGAGGUUGAAUUACAUCAGCAGGUUUAUCGCUCAGCUCACGACAACUUGUGAGCCCAUCUUUAAGCUGCUAAAGAAGGAUGUCGUUGUCAAAUGGACUGAUGAGUGUCAGGAAGCAUUCGAUAGGAUCAAAUAGUAUUUAUCGAACCCACCUGUGUUGGUCCCGCUAGAACCCGAGAGACCUUUGAUUCUGUAUUUGACAGUCUUGGAUAAUUCAUUUGGUUGUGUGUUGGGUAAAUAUGACAUCACUGGCCAGAAAGAGNNNNNNNNNNNNNNNNNNNNNNNNNUGACUUGGGUAGCAUAAAAGUUGAAGCAUUAUUUGUCAUCCUACACUACUUACCUCAUCUCUCGUCUGGAUCCUUUGAAGUAUAUCUUUCAGAAGCCCAUACCGAUAGAGAGGCUCGAAAAGUGGCAGAUCUUGCUCACAGAGUUUGACAUCGUAUAUGUGACUCGGACGGCGAUGAAAGCCCAAGCUUUGACCGAUCACUUGGACAAGAACCCGGUAGACAAAGAAUAUGAACCUUUGAAGACUUAUUUUCCUGAUGAAGAGGUAAUGAACAUUGACGAGGUCGAGAAGGAGGAAAAGCCUGGUUGGAAACUCUUCUUUGAUGGGGCUACUAACAUGAAAGGCGUUGGGAUAGGAGCUAUACUCAUUUUUGAAACAGGGAAUCACUAUCUUGUUACGGCUCAGCUUCAUUUCUAUUGUACCAACAACAUGGCUGAGUAUGAGGCAUGCAUUUUGGGUUUAAGGCUAGCUAUAGAUAUGGGGAUCCAGGAAGUCUUGGUCUUGGGAGACUCGGACCUUCUAGUGCACCAAAUUCAAGGAGAAUGGGAGACACGGGAUUUAAAGCUUAUACCGUAUCGAUAGUGUCUGCAUGAUCUUUGUCAACGGUUUCGAUCUAUAGAAUUCAGGCACAUUCUAAGGAUCCAUAAUGAGGUUUUCGAUGUCUUGGCUACCUUGGCGUCAAUAUUGCACCAUCCGGACAAAGCUUAUGUUGACCCUUUGCAUAUUCAGGUCCGCAAUCAGCAUGCUUACUGUAAUGUGAUUGAAGAAUAACUUGAUGGUGAACCAUGGUUUCAUGACAGCAGGGAGUAUAUCAGGAUGGGGGUGUAUCCAGUACAGGACACGAGUGAUCAAAAGAGAACAAUUCGACAUUUGGCAAGUGGAUUUUUCUAUAGUGGAGAAGUUUUGUACAAAAGAACUCCAGAUCUCGGAUUGUUGAGGUGCAUCGAUGCAAAGCAAGCCACGACUAUCAUGACAGAAGUGCAUUCCGAAGUCUGCGGACCGCAUAUGAGUGGGUAUGUUCUAGCAAAGAAGAUUCUUCGAGCAGGUUAUUAUUGGCUCACCAUGGAGCGAGAUUGUAUUAGUUUUGUGCACAAAUGUCAUCAAUGCCAAGUACACAGAGAUUUGAUUAAUUCUCUGCCAUCUAAAUUGCACACAAUAUUCGCACCAUGGCCCUUUGUUGCUUGGGGUAUGGAUGUCAUCGAACCAAUUGAGCCAGCAGCAUCCAAUGAGCACAGGUUCAUUCUGGUGGCCAUUGACUAUUUCACUAAGUGGGUUAAAGAUAAAACUUUUAAGUCUGUGACCAAGAAGGCGGUGGUCGAUUUUGUUCAUUCAAAUAUCAUUUGUCGGUUCGGAAUCCCAAAGGUGAUCAUCACAGAUAAUGGUGCUAAUCUUAACAGUCAUCUGAUGAAAGAAGUAUGUCAACAGUUUAAGAUUACGCAUCGCAAUUCCACCCCAUACCGCCCCAAGGUGAAUGGAGCAGUCGAGGCAUCCAACAAGAACAUAAAGAAGAUACUACGGAAAAUGGUGCAAGGUUCCAGGAAAUGCCAUGAGAAGUUGCCCUUUGCGUUGUUGGGUUAUCGCACUACUCUUCGCACUUCAGUAGGUGCAACUCCUUACUUGUUGGUAUAUGGCACAGAAGCAGUGAUACCUGCAGAAGUUGAAAUUCCAUCCCAUCGGAUCGUUGCUGAAGCCAAAAUUGAUGUUAAUGAGUGGGUCAAAACGCGUCUGGAGCAAUUGAGUUUGAUUGAUGAGAAAAGAUUGGCAGCAGUAUGCCAUGGCUAGUUGUAUCAAAAGAGAAUAGCAAGAGCAUACAACAAGAAGGUGCGUCCCCAGAAAUUUGAAGUGGGUCAGCAAGUAUUGAAACGCAUCCUUCCACAUCAAGCUGAAGCAAAAGGCAAGUUCGCCCCGAAUUGGCAGGGGUCGUUCAUCGUAACGAGAGUGUUGUCCAACGGUGCUUUGUAUUUAAUAGAUAUAGAAGGAAAAUAUGUAUACAUGGCUAUCAAUUCUGAUGCAGUCAAAAGAUAUUAUGUAUGAUUUCUUUGGUUUAAAUUGUGUUUGUUUGUACUUGCCAUGUUUUGAAGAUUGGAAUGACGAAGGCAUUUUGUUCUGCUAUCUAAAUACUUUAUCCUUUGUUACCCCUCUGAGCUUUAUUUAUUUCCUUUCAUACCCCUCUUUUAGAAUCAGUAGCAAAAUUCAGAAACACGAACGCAAAAGGUAAGUGAAGAAGUAAUGAAAAUAAAGAAAAAAGAGAAAAGAAAAGGAAAAAUAAAAAGAAGGAAAGAAAGAAAGAAAGAAAAGAAAAAGAAAAAAAAAAGAAAGGAAAGGAGAGAAGUAACAACCACAAAACA